CACGUAGGGCGCAAGCGUUGUCCGGAAUUAUUGGGCGUAAAGAGCUCGUAGGCGGUCUGUUGCGUCCGCUGUGAAAACUCGGGGCUUAACCCCGAGCCUGCAGUGGAUACGGGCAGACUAGAGGUAGGUAGGGGAGAAUGGAAUUCCCGGUGUAGCGGUGAAAUGCGCAGAUAUCAGGAGGAACACCGAUGGCGAAGGCAGAUCUCUGGGCCGUAACUGACGCUGAGGUGCGAAAGCGUGGGGAGCAAACAGG
rnacentral:rRNA from 1 species